CCUUUGGAGCGUGCAGCCACCAGGUGGCAGCCGAGGCCACGGGCAGACAGAAAAGCUCCCGAAACUGAAGGACUGCCAGGCAGCAGAGUUCCGGAGGGCUCCCAGGACCUUCAACCAGAAAGAGACAGAGCAUAUGCGCAUAUGUAUGUCUGAGCCCGUGCACGGAGGAGGACAGCCCUGCAAGGAAUGUACUAUAGAGCCAAUUUUACCGGCAAAGGAAUGGAAGAUCUGAAAGGCUAGGCGAUCCCACAAGCAUCGAGGAGCAGGCUGGAAUUUGAACCAAUCGGCAUGAUUCCCAAGCUCAAGCUUUUGGCCACCCCUGCACUGCCAGGGACAAAAAAAAAAAAAAAAAAA
rnacentral:lncRNA from 1 species